ensembl:lncRNA
AACCCCUCUCCCUCUCCAAAUGCCAGCUGCUUUGUUCAUUGUGGAAUGAGAGUUAACAAGUCAGACCACCACUCCUCCGUCAACUUCGCCAACAUCUCUGCCAGUACCACCCCAGCAAGAUUAUUACAGACUUGUUCUGCAGCACCUCCGCACAAUUGAGGAGGAGCUGAAGGAGGUGAAGCAGCAGGUGGCGGUCAACACAGCCAUGAUACAGAGACUAGGUGGUGGUGGUGUGGCAGAUCUCGGCCUUGGGGAAGACACCAACAUGCCAUUGAGCAAUGCCGAGGACCUGGACGAGCUGGAGAGGCGGCUUAUAUCUGAUGUGGACCUAAAAAAACAACUGGUGAACAUACUUGCUAUUUUGGGAGGGAAAACCACCAAAGACGCAGUGAAGAGGAUGCUGGGCCGGGCUUUCAGGAGGUCCCUGACGCUCCAAAUUUAUUGGACUGGCGCAGCUGGAAAGAUCGCUUUCAAGUCCCUAAACCUGAAGAGUGUGUUGCACAGAGCCGUUCGGAGAGUGGUAACCACAGCCACUGAAGAGGAGCUUCAAAAAUAAGUCUCCCUGUAUUUGAAGGGGGCGGCUGACAGGGAGGGAGGGAGAAAAGACAGGCAGAAAAGGGUGGUGAAUGGGGAUGGGGAGUGUUGAGCCCAUGUUGGCCAUAUGCUUAUGAAAUAAACAAAAUGUAUUGA